GCUUAAUACAUGCAAGUCGAGGGGUAACAUGAGAGCUUGCUCUUGAUGACGACCGGCGCACGGGUGAGUAACGCGUAUGCAACCUGCCUAUAACCGUGGGAUAGCACUUCGAAAGGAGUAUUAAUACCACAUAACACUGUUUAAUUGCCUGAUUAGACAUUUAAAUUUCCGGAGGUUAUAGAUGGGCAUGCGUGACAUUAGCCAGUUGGCGGGGUAACGGCCCACCAAAGCAACGAUGUCUAGGGGUUCUGAGAGGAAGGUCCCCCACACUGGUACUGAUACACGGGCCAGACUCCUACGGGAGGCAGCAGUGAGGAAUUUUGCGCAAUGGGGGAAACCCUGACGCAGCAACGCCGCGUGAGUGAUGAAGGCCUUCGGGUCGUAAAGCUCUGUCAAGUGGGAAGAACCCUUUCCGGGGUAAUAUCCUGGGGAGCUGACGGUACCACUGAAGGAAGCACCGGCUAACUCCGUGCCAGCAGCCGCGGUAAUACGGAGGGUGCAAGCGUUAUCCGGAUUUAUUGGGUUUAAAGGGUGCGUAGGCUGACAAGUAAGUCAGUGGUGAAAUUCCCCGGCUCAACCGGGGGUGUGCCAUUGAUACUGUUUGUCUGGAGUGUAAUCGAAGUGGGCGGAAUGAGGAGUGUAGCGGUGAAAUGCAUAGAUAUUCCUCAGAACACCGAUAGCGAAGGCAGCUCACUAGAAUACAACUGACGCUGAGGCACGAAAGCGUGGGUAGCAAACAGGAUUAGAUACCCUGGUAGUCCAC
rnacentral:rRNA from 1 species